GAUGAACGCUGGCGGCGUGCCUAAUACAUGCAAGUCGAGCGAACGGACGAGAAGCCUGCUUCUCUGAUGUUAGCGGCGGACGGGUGAGUAACACGUGGAUAACCUACCUAUAAGACUGGGAUAACUUCGGGAAACCGGAGCUAAUACCGGAUAAUAUUUUGAACCGCAUGGUUCAAAAGUGAAAGACGGUCUUGCUGUCACUUAUAGAUGGAUCCGCGCUGCAUUAGCUAGUUGGUAAGGUAACGGCUUACCAAGGCAACGAUGCAUAGCCGACCUGAGAGGGUGAUCGGCCACACUGGAACUGAGACACGGUCCAGACUCCUACGGGAGGCAGCGGUAGGGAAUCUUCCGCAAAGGGCGAAAGCCUGACGGAGCAACGCCGCGUGAGUGAUGAAGGUCUUCGGAUCGUAAAACUCUGUUAUUAGGGAAGAACAUAUGUGUAAGUAACUGUGCACAUCUUGACGGUACCUAAUCAGAAAGCCACGGCUAACUACGUG
rnacentral:rRNA from 1 species